UGAGUUUGAUCAUGGCUCAGAUUGAACGCUGGCGGCAGGCCUAACACAUGCAAGUCGAGCGGUAACAGGACUAGCUUGCUAGUUGCUGACGAGCGGCGGACGGGUGCGUAACACGUACGAAUCUGCCCGGUAGUGGGGGAUAGCCCGGAGAAAUCCGGAUUAAUACCGCAUACGCCUUACGAGGGAAAGAAGGGGCCUCUUCGGAGCCUUUCGCUAUCGGAUGAGCCUGCGUCGGAUUNNNUAGUUGGUGGGGUAAAGGCCUACCAAGGCGACGAUCCGUAGCUGGUCUGAGAGGAUGAUCAGCCACACUGGGACUGAGACACGGCCCNNNCUCCUACGGGAGGCAGCAGUGGGGAAUAUUGCACAAUGGGGGAAACCCUGAUGCAGCCAUGCCGCGUGUGUGAAGAAGGCUCUAGGGUUGUAAAGCACUUUCAGCGAGGAGGAAAGG
rnacentral:rRNA from 1 species